GGGGACUCAGCCUCGCGUGAAGAGUGGGAAAGCAUCGCACACCUUCUGCCUGGGUGGCCUCAACCUCUUCCAAUAGCAGUUAUCGAAUACUUCCUGUCUGGCAGACUGUCUGGUCAAAUGGACGCGGAGAGCAGCUUCCAGUAAUGGAGCU